GAAGGGGGCUAGCGUUACUCGGAAUUACUGGGCGUAAAGGGCGCGUAGGCGGCACCGUCAGUCAGGCGUGAAAUUCCUGGGCUCAACCUGGGGACUGCGCUUGAUACGGCGGAGCUAGAGGAUGGAAGAGGCUCGUGGAAUUCCCAGUGUAGAGGUGAAAUUCGUAGAUAUUGGGAAGAACACCGGUGGCGAAGGCGGCGAGCUGGUCCAUUACUGACGCUGAGGCGCGACAGCGUGGGGAGCAAACAGGAUUAGAUACCCUGGUAGUCCACGCCGUAAACGAUGUGCGCUGGAUGUUGGGUGACCUAGUCACUCAGUGUCGUAGCUAACGCGAUAAGCGCACCCGCCUGGGAGUACGGCCGCAAGGUUG
rnacentral:rRNA from 1 species